UACGUAGGGUGCAAGCGUUGUCCGGAAUUAUUGGGCGUAAAGAGCUCGUAGGCGGCUUGUCGCGUCGACUGUGAAAACCCGCGGCUCAACCGUGUGGUCUGCAGUCGAUACGGGCAGGCUAGAGUUCGGUAGGGGAGACUGGAAUUCCUGGUGUAGCGGUGAAAUGCGCAGAUAUCAGGAGGAACACCGGUGGCGAAGGCGGAUCUCUGGGCCAUUACUGACGCUGAGGAGCGAAAGCGUGGGGAGCGAACAGG
rnacentral:rRNA from 1 species